GCGGCGGACGGGUGAGUAACACGUGGGCAACCUGCCUCAUAGAGGGGAAUAGCCUCCCGAAAGGGAGAUUAAUACCGCAUAAGAUUGUAGCUUCGCAUGAAGUAGCAAUUAAAGGAGCAAUCCGCUAUGAGAUGGGCCCGCGGCGCAUUAGCUAGUUGGUGAGGUAACGGCUCACCAAGGCGACGAUGCGUAGCCGACCUGAGAGGGUGAUCGGCCACAUUGGGACUGAGACACGGCCCAGACUCCUACGGGAGG
rnacentral:rRNA from 1 species